GGGAACCCCCCUGUAAUCAGGGUGGGUAUGUCUGGCCCCAGGCUUUCAGAGGCAUGGCGUCAGGUUUGUUUAUCUCAGCGUGUACUCCUCGGCCCCAGGCUUAGUGUUGGUGGAGUCUCCCGCCAUGACCCAGGUCUUUGGCUGCGAAAGCCCGCUGCCUGGCUCCUGAGUCUGCUUCCUGUAGCUGCGGGACCAGUUUGAGGUCUCCAUGACCCCUUCUCAGACGCAGGUCUUGUGUAGCCCCAAACUGUUCCACGAACCCAGAAUAUUUGACAGAAGCUUUUCAUGAAAAUGGUUUGUAAAGAUGGGAAGAGACCUCUCAUUGAGGUAGUUGACUUCCAGUCCUUGGACUUGGCAUUGAAGUUGAGACGUGGUCUUGAACUCUCUUCUUCUUGGAGUUUGGGAAUGGUCAGACCCAUGAUCUUGAUGAUUUUUUGUUUCAAAUUGAGGUGAUUCGAAAUGGCUAUGACAUAAAGCUAAAGCUCUGCUGUACCCUGAGGAUACAUAGUACCCGUGCUGCCCUUAGCAUUAGUUGUAUCCUUUUUAUUGAGUACAUCCAUUGGUGAAAUGACCACAGGAGAUGUGGAGUUCUCAUCUCACUGAAGAUCUUAGAAAAGUUGUGUUUUGCUGCCCACCAUGCGUGUCUCUGCUAUGAAUGUGCAAGCGGGAGGAGUGGCUGAUACUUCUUGAAGCUGUGCUACUCUUCAGGCCCAUUUUAGCAGGUUGGGGAGCUGCAGACAGGACACCUGAGGAAGGUCAGCAAAGGACCUGAGGUGCAGGAGGAUGUCAUACAGUCUCAGCACGACGUCCCGCUGGCCAUGCAGGCCGAUCACGUGCAGACAGUCAAGGGUCUGCUCCUGGUAACUUGCGGCAGUGGAGUUUACCAGGCAGCAGUAAGGCAGCGGUCGUGCAAUAGGGUGGACGGGAGACUGGGCUCCGUAGAGAAAGGCAGGCAAUACAAGCAAAUAGCAACAAGCAGUGAAGCAAAAGCAAGCAAGCAGGCAGGCACUUUGUUUACCUGUGUACCUCCUAUUUAUCACAUGUGGGCUGAGAAUAAUGGCCCCUUGGCUGUCAGAAUGACCAAUGAGCUUGGCAGUUAACCAAAGCAUACCAUAAUAGGCAAGGGCCACAGGCCUGGCCUCCUCCAAAUAUGGGGAUAGCAUGGGCCUUGCACCUAGUAAGCUGCAAGCUAGGUGCAUGGGCUUACCCAAGCGCGUUACACAACUUGGGCCCUGGGCAGGCCAGACUUUAUGGCGCCAGGUCUAUUGUGGCCUUUUUGCAUUUGUUUGUAUCCGUUUAAUGCGUUUACCCCUGGUGCGGGCAGAAAAACACGUCCAGGCAAGACAGAACAUGUAUAAGCCUAUUUUGGGCAACUGGAAACACAGACUUUACAAGGAUGGAUAAAUAUUUUUUUAGAUUUGACAGAUGACUGUAUGUAAAACAGUGAAUGAUCUAGAGGAGUGAUUUGUCAUGGUUUGAGGCCAAUUGCGAUAUUUUAAUGAAGGAAUGAGAUGAUUGGUUGUAAAAGGAAAAUAAUGAUGAAGUCUGUCA